rnacentral:rRNA from 1 species
UACGUAGGGUGCAAGCGUUUGUCCGGAAUUAUUGGGCGUAAAGAGCUCGUAGGCGGUCUGUCGCGUCGGAUGUGAAAAUCCAGGGCUCAACCCUGGACCUGCAUUCGAUACGGGCAGACUAGAGUUCGGCAGGGGAGACUGGAAUUCCUGGUGUAGCGGUGAAAUGCGCAGAUAUCAGGAGGAACACCGGUGGCGAAGGCGGGUCUCUGGGCAACAACUGACGCUGAGGAGCGAAAGCGUGGGGGAGCGAACAGG